rnacentral:rRNA from 1 species
AUACGUAGGUGGCGAGCGUUGUCCGGAAUUACUGGGCGUAAAGGAUGCGUAGGUGGAUAUUUAAGUGGGAUGUGAAAUCCCCGGGCUCAACCCGGGAACUGCAUUCCAAACUGGGUAUCUAGAGUGUAGUAGAGGCAAGUGGAAUUUCUAGUGUAGCGGUGGAAUGCGUAGAUAUUAGAAGGAACACCAGUGGCGAAGGCGCCUUGCUGGGCUAUUACUGACGGUCAGGGACGAAAGCGUGGGGAGCAAAUAGGAUUAGAUACCCUGGUAGUCCACGCCGUAAACGAUGGGUACUAGGUGUAGGAGGUAUCGACCCCUUCUGUGCCGUCGUUAACACAAUAAGUACCCCGCCUGGGGAGUACGGUCGCAAGACUAAAACUCAAAGGAAUUGACGGGG